rnacentral:SRP_RNA from 1 species
GCCGGGUGCGGUGGUAUGUGCCUGUAGUCCCAGCUACUCAGGAGGCUGAGGUGGGAGGAUCGCUUGAGCCCAGGAGCUCUGGGCUGUAGUGCGCUAUGCCGAUCAGGUGUCCACAUUACGUUCGGCACCAAUAUGGUGACCUCCCAGGAGCGGGGGACCACCAGGUUGCCUAAGGAGGGGUGAACCGGCCCAGGUCGGACACGGAGCAGGUCAAAACUCCCGUGCUGAUCAGUAGUGGGAUCGCGCCUGUGAAUAGCCACUGCACUCCAGCCUGGGCAACAUAUCGAGACCCCAUCUCU